AUGGCAUAUUCCCAUCCCUGCAGUCAGGGAUGGGAAUCCAGAUGUGGCCCCACUAAGGCCCUAGCUAUGCCACCUCGGGCAAAUCCCUCAGCAACCAGAUCAUUGGCUUCCAAGGGAACUGCGGUCAGGGUGAUCUCUAAGAGGCAUAUUCUGGUCACUACCUCCCUUCCCAGAUUACCCUGGCAUCCCUCUCACCUCCCAUGGACCAUGCUUAAGGAGCAGCACUGCAUGGUCUGAGGAGGAGAAGUGGACGGCAGCCCUGACCAGACCAUACCUAAACCUGACGCUUCACCUCUACUUUUUAGUAAUGUGAGCCAACAGAUAUCCUUUGUUGCUUAAGCCUGUUUGGGUUGACUUUGCUACCAUUUACAAUCAAAACCAUCCUACCGCAUGUAGGAAACUAUCAACCCAAAGUAAAGUGAGAAAAAGAACAAAGAUGGUAGUAAGAUACAGUGCAAAGGUAUUGAGAAUCCCAAUCAUUACAUAAAACUCUACAUGAAACUGAAGAAGAAAAGACCCAAAGAUGUAUAAUCAGAUAAAGGCUCUUUACAGCCCUGCAAGUAAAUGGCUACCUUGACGGAUUUCCUUCCUUUAAACAAUGAAUCCGUGCAAAUUUCAUUGUUUCACUCGUUUUUAGCCGCUGCCAAUUUUGAGCCAAAUGAAUUAUCUUCAAGCAAAUGUCACACACAGCGGGUAGUGAUUUCAUUUCCUAAACUGUUGUCAAAGCUUUGCAUACUGAAGCUUCCAAAAAGGAGAAUUGGAAAAAUGACAAUUUAGAGGUGGGAAAGAAACAGGAGUUAUUUCAAAGCCGCAGCCUGUGAUACAGUGGAAUCUUUCUUAAAGUGCCUCUAUCUAACAUUUUCCAAACUGCAAUCAUUUCAACUGCUGGCUUUCACCGUAUUUAUGCUGAAAUUUAGCUGAUUUAUUUUUAUAGACUUUUACCAGGAUGAAAAGCCAAAACUGAAUAGAGAGAGAGAGAGAGAGAGAGAGAGAGAAAAGGAAAAUAGUACUGUGGGUUUUUUUUUUAAGUAAAGAUUAAAGACUAUAAAUUGGAA
rnacentral:lncRNA from 1 species